rnacentral:rRNA from 1 species
UACGUAGGGUGCGAGCGUUAAUCGGAAUUACUGGGCGUAAAGCGCGCGCAGGCGGUUCGUUAUGUCCGAUGUGAAAGCCCCGGGCUCAACCUGGGAAUGGCAUUGGAAACUGGCGGACUCGAGUGUGGCAGAGGGGGGUGGAAUUCCGCGUGUAGCAGUGAAAUGCGUAGAGAUGCGGAGGAACACCGAUGGCGAAGGCAGCCCCCUGGGCUAACACUGACGCUCAGGCACGAAAGCGUGGGGAGCAAACAGG